rnacentral:rRNA from 1 species
GACGAUCUCAGUUCGGACUGCAGGCUGCAACUCGCCUGCACGAAGUUGGAAUUGCUAGUAAUCGUGGAUCAGCAUGCCACGGUGAAUACGUUCCCGGGUCUUGUACACACCGCCCGUCACACCAUGAGAGUUGGGAAUACCCGAAGCCUGUGAGCUAACUUUUAGAGGCAGCAGUCGAAGGUAGAAUCAAUGAUUGGGGUGAAGUCGUAACAAGGUACC